AUUACUCUAUUACUUAAUAUUGGGUAAUGUUUAUUGAAACGUUGCAUUUGAUAUGUUAAUUUAUUGAUUACGAAUGUUUAACAUGUUAAACUAUGUGAGAAGAGGAAGAAAUAGCCACAUGAAUGGGACGUGAUUUGAUUUUAUUUUGAAAGGGAGAGAGAGAGACGCUGCCAGGUGAAACUAACUGUUUAAUUAAAGUCUGUCACCAGUUUCUGUUCGAGUGUUCGACCAGGACUCUUUGCUUUGAGAGAUUUGAUGGUGACUUUUCUGUGAGUUUGUGUGGAAUACUCAAGAGAGAAGAAGAACGAAGUUAAGCUAACUGCUAACUGCUAACCUAGUAGCGAGUGAUGCUGCGCAAAACCUUGCUAACGAGCUAACGAGCUAACGACCAGUGACAGCAAAGUCUGUGUGGAGCCGAGAUCGUCAGCUACGUGAGUCUCUUCCUCUGCGUAGAUCGUCUCCUCCUCAUCAUCAUCUUUCCUCCUGCUUCUGUGUACCGACAUCCUGCGUGUUCAUGGCGACCACACCUGGGAUUAAGAAUGGGUGCGUCAUUAUUGAAGGAGACCCCAUUGAGACCAUUAUACAACUUCAUCGCAAAAUCCACACAGGACUGAGGCAGAAAAGGCUCCAAUGUCUUGUAUGUUCUUGCAACGCUGUCAAUCAAAAACUGGUUCCACCUUUCAGAAAGUUCUCCAAUCAUCAUGCAGAAGCCCAGUGUACGUGCCCGCCCACUGCUUCAUUGACCCCCAGAGAAGCUGAGCUUCCCUGGAUGUGAUGAUUUUGUUGCAUUUGUCCAAACGGAAACGGUCAAAGAACAUGCUGUCCUGGUACUGGAAGAAGGGCUCUCCACUCAGGUGUUUGUGCAGGUCUCUAAUCCAGUGAACAUAGAAUGUCAUCAUUGUUCUCUCACACACACAUGCACAGGUACACACAGCGUUAGUAGCAGCUUGUAGCUGGACUCACUUGGAGCAUUCGUGAAAGACAUCCACACACGGAUCCGCCUCCAUACUCUGAAUACAGCUUUCUCCAUGUUUCAGCAGGAUAGGGAUGCACUGACUGGACUGAGGACACAUGGAGGAUUAAUGACUCUUUGGAUAAUUUAUAUUCAGAUUAUUGACACUUUAUGUCAUUAUUAUAGAUUAUUGACACUUUGAUAUUGAUCAUUCAUUAUUCAGAUUAUUGACACUUUGAUAUUGAUCAUUCAUUAUUCAGAUUAUUGAUACUUUGAUAUUGAUCAUUCAUUAUUCAGAUUAUUGACACUCUGGUAAUCUACUACAGUUUGGUGAAUUGUUGUCCAGAUUAUUGACAUUAAUAUAAAUGAAACUCCAGGUCAACACUUUACUUG